rnacentral:rRNA from 1 species
CAGGUUUGAUCCUAGCUCAGGACGAACGCUGGCGGCGCGCCUAACACAUGCAAGUCGAACGAGAGAGAAGGAGCUUGCUUCUUCGAUCGAGUGGCGAACGGGUGAGUAACGCGUGAGGAACCUGCCUCAAAGAGGGGGACAACAGUUGGAAACGACUGCUAAUACCGCAUAAGCCCACGGGUCGGCAUCGACCUGAGGGAAAAGGAGCAAUCCGCUUUGAGAUGGCCUCGCGUCCGAUUAGCUAGUUGGUG